UACAGAGGGUGCGAGCGUUAAUCGGAAUUACUGGGCGUAAAGCGCACGCAGGCGGUCUGCUAAGUUUGGAGUGACAGUUGGUGGCUUAACUGCCAAAGUGCUUCGAAAACUGACAGACUUGAGGGCUUCAGAGGGACACGGAAUUCCGGGUGUAGCGGUGGAAUGCGUAGAGAUCCGGAAGAACACCGGUGGCGAAGGCGGCCUGCUGGGCAGUAGCUGACGCUGAGGCGCGACAGCGUGGGGAGCAAACAGG
rnacentral:rRNA from 1 species